GACAGAUAAUACAUUAUACGUAGACUAUAAAUAGUAAUAGAUUUAUACAUAUUGUUAUAUAGUGUUGGAACACCUAUUGAUCUAUUCAUAUUAUACGUUAUUGUUGAGUGCAUCUUCAAUAAUGAAGGAUGGAGGAAACAUGUCAGUCAAUGUGCCUGGUUACCUACACACAGCACAAACGUUCCAGACAACACUCUACUAGUCGGCAAAAUAUUGGAUUCAUAAUCAAUGCCGGGAAGCUCUCCUUAUGACUUAACGUCGACCUGACGACGUCGGGAGCGUUGAUCCUUGGUCGCAGCGCUCUCUCCAUGUCCAAGUCAUCUCUUGCUCUUCCCAUACCCUACAAAGAGUAACAUUGCAG